rnacentral:rRNA from 2 species
GGCUCGGCCGGGCCUUUCCCUCUGUGGAACCCCAUGCCCUUCACUGGGCGUGGCGGGGAAACAGGACUUUUACUGUGAAAAAAUUAGAGUGCUCCAGGCAGGCCUAUGCUCGAAUACAUUAGCAUGGAAUAAUAGAAUAGGACGUGUGGUUCUAUUUUGUUGGUUUCUAGGACCGCCGUAAUGAUUAAUAGGGACAGUCGGGGGCAUCAGUAUUCAAUUGUCAGAGGUGAAAUUCUUGGAUUUAUUGAAGACUAACUACUGCGAAAGCAUUUGCCAAGGAUGUUUUCAUUAAUCAGGAACGAAAGUUAGGGGAUCGAAGACGAUCAGAUACCGUCGUAGUCUUAACCAUAAACUAUGCCGACUAGGGAUCGGACGGUGUUAUUUUUUGACCCGUUCGGCACCUUACGAGAAAUCAAAGUGCUUGGGCUCCAGGGGGAGUAUGGUCGCAAGGCUGAAACUUAAAGAAAUUGACGGAAGGGCACCACCAGGGGUGGAGCCUGCGGCUUAAUU